rnacentral:pre_miRNA from 1 species
UAUGUACUCCCUUCGUUCAGAAUUACUUGUCUCGGAAAUGGAUGUAUCCAGAACUAAAAUACAUCUAGAUACAUCCAUUUCCGCGACAAGUAAUUCCGAACGGAGGGAGUACAUC